rnacentral:rRNA from 1 species
GAUGAACGCUAGCGGCAGGCCUAACACAUGCAAGUCGAGGGGUAUAGGUUUUCGGACCUAGAGACCGGCGCACGGGUGCGUAACGCGUAUGCAAUCUGCCUUGUACUGAGGGAUAGCCCAGAGAAAUUUGGAUUAAUACCUCAUAGUAUAACGAAAUCGCAUGGUUUUGUUAUUAAAGUUCCAACGGUACAAGAUGAGCAUGCGUCCUAUUAGCUAGUUGGCGGGGUAACGGCCCACCAAGGCGACGAUCCGUAGCUGGUCUGAGAGGACGAUCAGCCACACUGGAACUGAGACACGGUCCAGACUCCUACGGGAGGCAGCAGUGGGGAAUAUUGGACAAUGGGGGAAACCCUGAUCCAGCGACGCCGCGUGGGUGAAGAAGGCCUGCGGGUUGUAAAGCCCUUUCGGUAGGGACGAAAGCUCUCGACCUAACACGUCGGGAGGUUGACUUAACCUACAGAAGAAGCACCGGCUAACUCUGUGCCAGCAGCCGCCGUAAGAC